GACGAACGCUGGCGGCGUGCUUAACACAUGCAAGUCGAACGAUGAACCCGGAGCUUGCUCCGGCGGAUUAGUGGCGAACGGGUGAGUAACACGUGAGUAACCUGCCGUUGACUCUGGGAUAACUGCUAGAAAUGGUAGAUAAUACCGGAUACGACCCUCGGUGGCAUCACCAGGGGGUGGAAAGAAAUUCGGCGAAGGAUAGACUCGCGGCCUAUCAGCUAGGUGGUGAGGUAACGGCUCACCAAGGCGACGACGGGUAGCCGGCCUGAGAGGGUGACCGGCCACGCUGGGACUGAGACACGGCCCAGACUCCUACGGGAGGCAGCAGUGGGGAAUAUUGCACAAUGGGCGCAAGCCUGAUGCAGCAACGCCGCGUGAGGGAUGACGGCCUUCGGGUUGUAAACCUCUUUUAGUAGGGAAGAAGCGAAAGUGACGGUACCUGCAGAAAAAGCACCGGCUAACUACGUGCCAGCCGCCGCAGUAA
rnacentral:rRNA from 1 species